rnacentral:rRNA from 1 species
CGACGAGAAAGAUUUGUAUCAGUACCUAUACGUGCAUGAACGAAGUAUAUGGUAUGGAAAAGUCUUUAUAUAUAGUCGACAAGAACGUCAUAAAUUCUACAAACUUACUCUUUAAUGGUUAAAGCACGGAGGUAAUAAAAAAAAGAGACUUAUUUGACGAGAAGACAACGUGCACUUCCUUUCUUUAACCAUUCUCAGAUGUGUAGAUGUGCUCUUGUAAGCAUCAACUUCCUGAAUCAGACUGGUAAAGAAAAGCGUGAGCUAGUAAAGAAAAGAUAGAACGUGGAUACGAAUUAUACCAAAACGAUAGAUAAGACCUUGACGUUUAUACAAAUAUAGUUCUACAUAUAUUUAGUUCGUUGUGUGCGUAACAACAAACAAUGAAGAACCAAAAGAUUGAACACAGUUUUUGAAAGUCGUACAAUAGUCUUACCAUCGAACAUAACGACGUCUCGGGUAAAGAUACGACCUUUCGUACCUAAGACUUCCUAUACAUUUUACCCUGCAGUUUGGACUCUUGAAAGUAGAGUCGGUCGGACCUUGAGGAGUUCUUUUCUUUGGAAAAGAACAUCUAGAACCUAAUCUCCACUAGCAACAACACUACUUCGACGUCUCCACCGUAUC